AGAGUUUGAUCAUGGCUCAGGACGAACGCUGGCGGCGUGCCUAACACAUGCAAGUCGAACGGACUAACGUUUAGCACUGAGUGUUCAGUGAAGUUGGUUAAAGCGAGAGCUCGAACGUAGUGAAGCGAAGAGAGAGCUCCAGGCAUUAUAAAGUGCCAACACAGUUUGCUAAAGGGAAACAGUAAGAACACUGAGUGCUAGACGUUAGUUAGUGGCGGACGGGUGAGUAACGCGUGGAUAACCUACCUAGUAGACCGGGACAACCCUUGGAAACGAGGGCUAGUACCGGAUGAGCUUAAUCGGUGGCAUCACUGAUUAAGGAAAGAUGGCCUCUGAAGAUGCUAUCGUUAGUAGAUGGAUCCGCGUCUGAUUAGCUAGUUGGUGGGGUAAAGGCCUACCAAGGCGACGAUCAGUAGCCGGCCUGAGAGGGUGAACGGCCACACUGGGACUGAGACACGGCCCAGACUCCUACGGGAGGCAGCAGUGGGGAAUCUUCCGCAAUGGACGAAAGUCUGACGGAGCAACGCCGCGUGUACGACGAAGGCCUUCGGGUUGUAAAGUACUGUCUUCAGGGACGAACGGUAAGUAUGUAAAUAAUGUACUUACAUGACGGUACCUGAGGAGGAAGCCCCGGCUAACUACGUGCCAGCAGCCGCGGUAAUACGUAGGGGGCAAGCGUUGUCCGGAGUCAUUGGGCGUAAAGGGCGCGUAGGCGGAUACUUAAGUCUGGUGUGAAAACCUAGGGCUCAACCCUGGG
rnacentral:rRNA from 1 species